CUGCCYGCGACGUCACAAGAAGUCCACUGAACCUUAUCAUUUAGAGGAAGGAGAAGUCGUAACAAGGUUUCCGUAGGUGAACCUGCGGAAGGAUCAUUGUCGAUACCCUGCACAGCAGAACGACCCGCGAACUAGUAAAWCCAACYCGGGGGCGAGGGGCCCUAGAGCCCCGGACCUCCUUGGCUUGGGGGGCACCAUCGYCGAGCGGCGCUGGUCGACGCUCGUUGGUGCCGCCCUCCAAGCCGUACAAACGAACCCCGGCGCAGAACGCGCCAAGGAACUUCAACGAAUCAGCAUGCCCCGGCGCCCCAGAAAUGGUGYGUGUCCAGGGUGUUGCGURGUAUUCUUUAUGUCAAAACGACUCUCGGCAACGGAUAUCUCGGCUCUCGCAUCGAUGAAGAACGUAGCGAAAUGCGAUACUUGGUGUGAAUUGCAGAAUCCCGUGAACCAUCGAGUCUUUGAMSGCAAGUUG
rnacentral:rRNA from 1 species